GGAGGAUCCGAGCGUUAUCCGGAUUUAUUGGGUUUAAAGGGAGCGUAGGUGGACAGUUAAGUCAGUUGUGAAAGUUUGCGGCUCAACCGUAAAAUUGCAGUUGAUACUGGCUGUCUUGAGUACAGUAGAGGUGGGCGGAAUUCGUGGUGUAGCGGUGAAAUGCUUAGAUAUCACGAAGAACUCCGAUUGCGAAGGCAGCUCACUGGACUGCAACUGACACUGAUGCUCGAAAGUGUGGGUAUCAAACAGGAUUAGAUACCCUGGUAGUCCACACAGUAAACGAUGAAUACUCGCUGUUUGCGAUAUACAGUAAGCGGCCAAGCGAAAGCAUUAAGUAUUCCACCUGGGGAGUACGCCGGCAACGGUG
rnacentral:rRNA from 1 species